rnacentral:miRNA from 1 species
ACGUGGAUGUGGACUUGAUA